rnacentral:rRNA from 1 species
CCAGACUCCUACGGGAGGCAGCAGUGGGGAAUAUUGCACAAUGGGGGAAACCCUGAUGCAGCGACGCCGCGUGAGCGAUGAAGUAUUUCGGUAUGUAAAGCUCUAUCAGCAGGGAAGAAAAUGACGGUACCUGACUAAGAAGCCCCGGCUAACUACGUGCCAGCAGCCGCGGUAAUACGUAGGGGGCAAGCGUUAUCCGGAUUUACUGGGUGUAAAGGGGGCGCAGACGGCCAUGGCAAGCCCGGUGUGAAAGGCAGGGACAUAACCCCUGGACUGCACUGGGAACUGUCAGGCUGGAGUGCCGGAGGGGUAAGCGGAAUUCCUGGUGUAGCGGUGAAAUGCGUAGAUAUCAGGAGGAACACCGGCGGCGAAGGCGGCUUACUGGACGGAAACUGACGUUGAGGCCCGAAAGCGUGGGGAGCGAACAGGAUUAGAUACCCGGGUAU